UCUCCGUAGGUGAACCUGCGGAGGGAUCAUUACUGAGUGAGGGUUUAACCGCCCGACCUCCAACCCUUUGUGAAUCGUACUCGUUGCUUCGGGGGCGACCCUGCCGGCACUCUGUCGCCGGGCGCCCCCGAAGGUCUCCAAACACUGCAUCUUUGCGUCGGAGUAUUAGUAAAUCUAAUCAAAACUUUCAACAACGGAUCUCUUGGUUCGGGCAUCGAUGAAGAACGCAGC
rnacentral:misc_RNA from 1 species